GAAGCCAAGGUGACAGUGAGUGACUUGGUCAGUUAGAAGAACUUCAGAUUGAAAAACACCUAGGUGUUGGUGCUAUUUCUAAUUGUCAGAAAGCGAUUUGGAGAGGGAGCCUGUGAAGGAGGAUGGAAAGAGAAGGGAUGCAAACAGAGUUAUCAUCUACUGUGAUGAAGGACACUCUGCUUUUUCUCCAGCAACAUGCCUGCCUACAUUGUUGCCAUGGUCCCCGACAAGAUAGACAGAACCUCUGGAAGGAAAGCUGUGUUUUAUUUGAAAACUAAGAACCAUCAUAAGGGUCAUCAACUGCAUUCAUGCUCUCCACUUGGACCAACUAUGAAACUGGGCCACACAUCUGUAGCUCGCGUUUUAUGUGAAAAGUCCACUUGGUUUUGUUUGAGACGGAUUUUUGCUGUGUCAUCCAGGCUGGCCUUGAUUUCACAGUCCUCUUGUCUCAGAUCCACACGUUAAAGGCUCUUUCCAUCUGCAGCCAAGUACACAGCUCCAUCAGUACUUACUUCUUGUUGACUCAAGCUUUUGUCACAGAGGACAACACAGCACUUAUUCCCAGUUCACCACUGCAGAAGAGCCACAGCGCAUGCACUUGCUUGGGAAAGUACCAUUCUUCAGUCCAAAGGACCAUGGAAACAUGACAGACCCCGAAGAACAAAGCAAU